AUCAAGAGGAACGCCGGAGUCGAAGGCGACUCGCUGGGCCAGUCCUGACGCUGAUAUGCGAAAGCCAGGGGAGCGAACGGGAUUAGAUACCCCGGUAGUCCUGGCCUUAAACGAUGUCUACUAGAUCGGAGUUCUUCUGACAGAUUUCCGGUCGUAACUAAAGCGUUAAGUAGACCGCCUGGGGAGUACGGUCGCAAGGCUAAAACUCAAAGGAAUUGACGGGGGCUCACACAAGCGGUGGAGCAUGUUGCUUAAUUCGAUGCAACGCGAAGAACCUUAUCCUGGGCUUGACAUGCUUGGAUGCCCAUCUGGAAACAGAGUAGGCUGCCCUUCGGGGUGAAACUUGCACAGGUGCUGCAUGGCUGUCGUCAGCUCGUGUCGUGAGAUGUUGGGUUAAGUCCCGUAACGAGCGAAACCCUUGUCGCUAGUUGCCAGCGCGUAAUGGCGGGGACUCUAGCGAGACUGCCGGUGUUAAACCGGAGGAAGGUGGGGAUGACGUCAAGUCCUCAUGGCCUUUAUGCCCAGGGCUGCAAACGUGCUACAAUGGACCGGACAAACCGACGCAAGACCGCGAGGUGGAGCAAAUCGGAAAAACCGGCCCUCAGUUCGGAUUGGAGUCUGCAACUCGACUCCAUGAAGUUGGAAUCGCUAGUAAUCGCGUAUCAGCGUGACGCGGUGAAUGUGUUCCUGAGCCUUGUACACACCGCCCGUCAAGUCAUGGAAGCCGGGAGCACCCGAAGUCGUGCCAAUUCAGGCAUGCACGAAGGUGAGUUCGGUGACUGGGACUAAG
rnacentral:rRNA from 1 species